UACGGAGGGGGCUAGCGUUGUUCGGAAUUACUGGGCGUAAAGGGCGCGUAGGCGGUCUUGUAAGUCUUUUGUGAAAUCCCUCGGCUUAACUGAGGAACUGCACGGGAUACUGCGAGACUUGAGUUCGGGAGAGGGAAGCGGAAUUCCGGGUGUAGCGGUGAAAUGCGUAGAUAUCCGGAGGAACACCGGUGGCGAAGGCGGCUUCCUGGACCGAUUACUGACGCUGAGGCGCGAAAGCUAGGGGAGCAAACGGG
rnacentral:rRNA from 1 species